rnacentral:lncRNA from 1 species
UUUUUACUUAUAUGUCUUUGUUUAGGAGUAAUAUUUAGUAUAUUUUUAGUUUGAUUUUCUUGUCAUUGGACAUAGUUUAGGAGUUUGUAAUGAGAUAUUAUUAAUUUAGUAUAAUUUUAGUUGUUUUUAUUAUAUGAUCAUGGGUGAAUUUUAUGACAAAUAUUUUUGUCAUGAAUUAAAUUAAUUCAUCACAAGUUGAUUACAUUCAGUG